GCUCUGGACUGAUCAACAGGAAGUGCUCUGGAUCUAUCAACAGGAAGUGCUCUGGAUUGAUCAACAGGAAGUUGAGGGUUCUUUCUUUAAUCUGCCCGCAGCAACAGCAAUGAGCUGCACCUGAAGGGAAGUCAGCCAAUCAGUGACUCUUUUGAUUUAUUCACCAGAUUGAAGGAGUGAAAACUACAAGACACAAGAACAUUUAGUUUAGUCAUUACUAAAGUUCUAGAUCAAUUCAAACAAUAAACUAAGACAAGUUGUUGCUAAUGCUAAGCUACAUGCUAAUGCUAAGCUACAUGCUAAGCCACAUGCUAUGCUACAUCAGACGCAAUACAUAACAAAUUAUAACAAGGCUAAUGCUAAGCUACAUGCUAAGCUAAACUUACAUUGCUGUUGCUGCCUGCUGUGUGCAGCCUUGAAGAUUAAAGAAAGAACUCUCAA